rnacentral:rRNA from 1 species
AUGGCCCUCCUCCUCCGGCCUCCUCGUCGUCCUGCCAUGGACGCCGAGCUUGAAGCUCCGGCCGACCCUGCCUCCAUGACCUUUGCCGAGCAGUCCCUCUCCUGGAGCCGCUCGCUGCUGUUGCUUUCCAUCGAGGCGCCAAGUUCCGUCGAUCUGCAGUCAUCUCCCUCGCGCCUUUCCUCCUCGCCGGCGUUCUGCUCGAGGACCAGCCCCGCGCACCCUUGUGCUCGUGGGCAGGGGACCCCAAGAGCGCCGCGCCGUCUCCCUGCCUCAUCUACGGUGCCGGCGUCAACAACAGAAGUGGACCGGAGCCCCUACCUUGCUCCACCACGUCGCCGACCUCUUGCCGUGGCCUCCUCCUCGCUUCAAGUCCUUGCUGUCAAGCAUCAUGUCGCCGCCCUGCUACGUUCGUCACCGGAGAUCGCCAGAUCCGGUCGCGUUGGGUCGGAUCCUCCCGUCCCUGCCUUGCUGCUGCCCACCAGAGGCCUUCCGUCUCGCGUGUGUUUUGGAUCAGCAAGGAUGAGACACCAAGAACCCAAGAACCCUACCCGGACCAGCAAGCACCUUCUCCGAGGAUUUUGCCAAGUACCGUGA